UACGUAGGGGGCAAGCGUUGUCCGGAAUCAUUGGGCGUAAAGCGCGUGUAGGCGGCCAGGUAAGUCCGUUCUGAAAGCCCGGGGCUCAACCCCGGGAGGCGGAUGGAUACUGCUUGGCUCGAGUCCGGAAGAGGCGAGUGGAAUUCCCGGUGUAGCGGUGAAAUGCGCAGAUAUCAGGAGGAACACCAAUAGCGAAGGCAGCUCGCUGGGACGUUACUGACACUAAGGCGCGAAAGCGUGGGGAGCGAACAGG
rnacentral:rRNA from 1 species